CUGUCAAGGCUAUGCUUCAAGCACGUUGACAAUUGAAGUACUUCUCAUCAAGGCCCUCCCUCCCAUUCUCUGUUCCCACAACCCUAGCUCAAAAACCAUGGCCUUCUCUGCUACAUUCUUCAUCUCUUCCACACCGUCUCUCACUCUUUCUUGCAGAACUUACAGAUCAUCUCUCUUUCCAAAGCCCAUUUCGGUUAAAGCUUCUUCAACUUCUCUGGAUUACUCCACAGCCUCCGUGGCCGAUAAACCGACAAUCCCAUUAAAGUCAAAUAAUUGGGAAUGGAAAUUUAAGGACAACUCUAUAAACAUCUAUUAUGAAGAACAUGCAAAGGAGAGCUCUGAUCCUCCCAAAAAUAUCCUUAUGGUACCUACCAUUUCUGAUGUUAGCACAGUUGAAGAAUGGAGAUCAGUGGCCAGAGAUAUUGUUCAACGAGUUGGUAAAAUUAAUUGGCAGGCUACAAUUGUUGAUUGGCCUGGUUUGGGAUAUUCUGACAGGCCAAAAAUAGAUUACAAUGCCGAUAUCAUGGAGAAAUUUGUAGUUGACUUCAUAAAUGCACCAGAUAGUCCAUUGCGGUACUCAGAUGAAAAGGAUUUGGUGGUCUUUUGUGGAGGGCAUGCUGCCACAAUACUACUUCGUGCUGCAAAGAAGGGUUUGGUUAAUCCAACUGCCAUAGCAGCCGUUGCACCAACCUGGGCUGGUCCUCUUCCUAUUGUGUUUGGUCGAGACUCCAGCAUGGAAGCAAGGCAUGGAAUGCUUAGGGGCACCUUAAAAGCUCCUGGUGUGGGUUGGAUAGUGUAUAACAUGCUUGUCAGCAAUGAGAAGGCAAUUCAAUCUCAGUCUCAGUACAAGUCUCAUGUCUAUGCAAAUCCUGAGAAUGUGACUCCAGAUAUCGUUGAAAGUAGAUAUGCACUGACAAAACGGAAGGGCGCUCGAUAUGCACCUGCUGCUUUCUUGACAGGUCUCCUUGACCCAGUUAAAUCUCGAGAAGAGUUUCUUGAACUCUUUGCAGAUUUAGAUGGAAAGCUACCAGUUCUUGUUAUGUCAACUGAAGGAUGUCCGAAGAGGUCAAAAGCAGAGAUGGAAGCACUCAAAGGAGCCAAAGGGGUCAGUAAAUUUGUUGGGGUUCCAGGUGCUCUUCUGCCACAAGAAGAGUAUCCUACCAUGGUUGCUGAAGAGCUUUACCAGUUUUUGCAAGAAAAUUUUGAAUUCAGUGGUUGAUAUUAGUCAUGAAUACAAAUUCCAACUUUCCCCUAUCAAUUUCCAUUGAGAUAUGAUAAGAUUGCAAAUGUUACCCUGGGG
rnacentral:misc_RNA from 1 species